UUCCCGAUCGAUCUCCUUCAUGAUUUCCCCCCAAAAAGCAAAUUCUCCCAGAUUCUGAUCUUCCUUUCAAUUCUUUCCAAACCCGACCGCCAACCAAUCUGAAUCUAGACGAGGGGUUGCCUCGCUUCCAACCCAUCACGUCUGUAGCCAUGGAAGAGAGAGGAGGGAGAGGGGAGAGGGAAGCGCGGCGGCCUCUGGGCCAUCAUGCGGGAAAAAGACAUGCCGAUUUACUACUGCCUGCCACGCCGCUGCCGCCGCUUGCGUGGUCGUUCUCCAACUCGAUCUCCAGCUGUCGCGACACUGCAGAUGGCCAGUAUGGGACUCUGGGUACACGCACCCGCCGCUCAUCGCAGAAGACACCGUUGCGCCCCUCCUCACACCGGAGCCACCUCCGGCCAAGAUCGACGAGACCACUGGAUCACGUGGAUCUGGACAUAGGGGUAUGCAUCCGCAAGGCCGAGAAGCAGGUCGUACGCCACUACAGUAUAGGAGCACCAGCGCCAGACAAGCAGGAUGUGCUCCAGGCCCUCCCUUCCACCUCCAGCCGAAACGAUCCUGCACGGCUGCACCAAGCCUGCUUCUCAUGUUGAUGAUGCGCCCUUCAAGGAUGUACUGCCGCAUGGGUUCCGGCGCACGGGGACGGCAAGAUCUGCAUCGUCCGCAUCAUCGACACGCAGGUACACACAUUGAUGCUUGCAGUUACAGUUUCAUGUCCUGAUCCAAAAUGCUACAGGGAUCUGAUUUUUAUUUUUGUGUCGUGAUUAUUUUUGAACAUUUGCGCUUUAGUUUGAUAGCAUGGAUGGAUUUGUGGCCUCGCCUCAUCAGGUCUGGGAGGACAAAAGUGCUUGGCGAAUAGAUACAUGCAGCACGGGACAAAGAGAAAAAAAAAUUAAGUACGUUUUGCUGAUACAAAAUUUAUGUUAUACACUAGAUCAAUUAUCUCGUCGAGCCGCCGGCACUGUCCCUGGACUCCAAUUCCAUGUGUGAUGGAUUUUGCUAUUGUACCAAGUAUUUGCUGAAUUUAUUGGCAUUCAUUCAUAUUAUUGGCCGGCCGUUAUGGUUUUCUGUUUUAUAGACUGAACCCUCAAGGGUCGUCAAGUUCAGUUUUAGAACAAAAGUCGCGGGAUAAGCUCUUUCUGUCUAUGGAUGACAGCUGAAUGCGCAAGAUAGAUGAAUUUGGAUCAUGAGCUUCCAACAAUGACUGUGCGAGAUGUUGGACAUGGCGUACAAGGCCGAUGUUGAUGGUGGCACAUAUACUCAUCAGCUGCCUACUACACGUCAGGGAGGAGGAAGCUAGGGAACCCAUAUUUGAAAAAGGAGAGCAGGGAAAGGUUUAAUGGUUACUGAUGAAACCAUUAAUCAAUAAUUGUGAUGAUUAGUUGUUCCUGAAUCACAAUUAAUCCUUGUAUAACUCCAUGCGUUGGUGUUUUGAGUGGGUGACCUGUGACCUAUUCUAUCCAAAAGAAUAAUGGUGUGCAGUUUCAGUCGUGAGUGGACGCGAUAUGGCCACGGACCAUAUUUAUACUAUCAAACCGUCGGUAACUGAAAACUAAUCAUGCUGGUUGCAACGGGGGCAGCCUUAUAUUCCCCAAUGAUGUUUGUGUAAAAUGUUAUGUUUAUUUAUUUAUUUUGUUCAAAAAACUUGCCUGUGUACAGUUUUUCAUGCAUGACACUACAGAACCAAGUAUUGGUAGAUUUGGUAAUGCUUUAUUUAAAGUUCUUGUGUACAUCAGACUGACUAUUACCACAAACAUGCCAUUUAUAUCAUUUGAUGGGAGCCAAUGCCAAGGCCUUUUUAUGUCCCCAUUUAUUUAGCAUCAUCAUGGUUAGUCAUUCCAAUGUUAGAAUCUCAUAAUGUGAUGCCUAAUUACUUUGACCGAUUAUGAAUACAGUGAUUUGUUGUAAUUUACAGAACAAUUUUUUGAUAUGAUGAGUUGUUUGCAAUGUCUGCUUACUGUUUUUACAGGACACCAGAUUUCAGUACCCCUUUGUAAUAAUUUCUUAGGUGAUUUGUUGAAUAAGCACACACCCAGAUUUUGGGGAUUAAUAAGAUUAGUAUGCAACAGCAUUGGGGUUAUCAUUCGUCGCGCUCCGUUCCUGCGCCACCGCCGCUGCCGCCGACAUGCUCUCUGCCCAAGUGCUGCCUCUGGGUUGUUGUUCUCCAUGCUCACGCACUGCCUCUAGGUCGCCAUUCAUUGCGCAUCCACUCAUUGUUGUCGGCGUGCUGAGAAGCUUCAAUGGAGCCUACUGGUUAAGGACGCCAGGCAACUCGGUUUCCCAGAUCAAUCAACACGUGCUUCAGUCACUUGGCGUCGCCCGCUUUCAUACAAUUGCCCAAUGACUCUUUGAUUUAAUUGUGCCUCUGACGCUCAGCUACUCAGGUGAUUACCAGAAUAAAGGUUAGACUUUUUUAUUGUUCUUGAUGUGAGGUUACUAAUGGAGCACCAAUUAUAGCCAUUGUGGACUUGCUAUUCAAUUUUUUUGCUGGUUUGUACAGAAUGAGAAUUUGUUAUGUUUGUUCAUAAGUUAUUCUGUUAAUGAUAUCAUCGUAAAAGUUGUGGCACUUGCCUUAAGUAAUGCCCCUGAAGCAAAUGGAAUGCAACAACUUUUUUUGCCAAUUAAGUUUCUCUGUUUUAUAAGACAACUAGCUUUUGCUGUAAAUCAGACGCAAGCCUUCUUGGUUUACACGUUUAUUGGCUAAAAAAUAUUUUGUGUUUCAAUGUACACGAGGGACUGAUGAGAGGUAUUAUAUGUAGAAUCUUACCAAGCUGAAAGUAGUGUAACCUUGAACAUACAGAUGAUGAUUAGUCCAUAGAUAUUGCAUUGGAGUUUCUCUUUUUCAAAGUCUGCUCCGACCAAGCACUUACAUGUUCAGGUACAUAUGUUGGGUUAUGUCAAGUACUUUUUUAGUCUAUGCUUUUGUAAAUCUUGUGAAUUUUCAAUUGCCAAAUUUCUGGGACAAAUCUGAAGGAAGAAGUUCCGAAGUGUGAUUCAGUGAUAUAUUGAUCUUGCUGCAGAAGAAGGUAUGCCAUUAUUGUACACAAAAGUUUGUAUCAACAUAUUUUUAUGUAUGCAAUGAUAGUCCUUGCUAUUCUAGGGCCUGAGAGGUCUCUAUGAUAGGAAAUGCAGAUUGUUAAACCAUAACAACAAUAUCUUUCAUAGGUAUGACAAAGGGUCAGAAGUUUAAGCAGAAUUUCUUUAGCGGCAUGCUUGUAUUGCAUCGUCAAAGUUGUUUGCGUGCAAAUCUUAGUUUGAACCAGAAUCAAGGUUGAUUUUGGAAGCACCAAAAAUACACAUACCCAAAGGAGGGUUGGAAGAUUGUGAGCUAGAUGUACCAUCAACGCGGUGGUGAGCAUAUUGGGGAGAUGACGAAGUGAUUGGUGUGUAUGAAGAUCCUAACUGCAUUUUUAAACUAAACUGUUUGUAUUUUUGGUCCUUGCCUGUAUGUAAGGAAAAAGCACUUGUGAGUCCAUCUGAUUACAACUAUGAAUUUCUUCUUUGAAAUGUUGAGUUUUAAAACCCAAGUCUUAUGGUCUAUACUUUGUUAUGGAGAGAAACCAAACCAGAUGAUGGUUGCGACUAAUCGUACAUUCCUACUAUAUUUGCGACAAGAGCAUGUUGGUGCUAUAUACUCUCUGUUUCUCUUGUUUCAUCAAUGUUUUGAGCACCAGUCCCUUCUGACUGGUUCGCGUAAGUGUUUUGAGCACCGGUCUUUUUUUCUGGGUAGAGGGAGAGAGCGGGAGGGAGAGAUGUUAGACGUGAUUAUUAUUGUGCGACUAAAAUAUGUUGUUGCUGCUGUUGUGUAGAUGAGAUAGAGAGAGAGCGCUUGUUGUGUUGUUUGCUCAUGUAUUUAUUUGAUACAAUGUGAAUAGCUGCAUGGAUUUGUGGAGUGAGGGAAACACCGAUUCAUUUGGGACUAUCUAUGUAUUUUGCUUCACCUGAAGAAGCACCGCUGAUGUAAUGUGGUAUGCUCACAUAUUGAUAUUCAUGAAGAUAAGUUAUGCACCAACACUAUUUUUAGUUCACGUGUUAAUGUUCGUGAAGAUAAGGUAUGCACCAAUGCUAUUUUUAAUUCAGAUCAGUCUUUUGAUUUCUAAUUGUCAUGUGAAGUGUUGUCAGGUUGUCAAAAUGAUGCAUUCAUGCUAAGGAGGUCACUGGAAAGGGUGAAGGUUGAAUCAUCAGUUGUCUUGAAUCCUUAACUAUUGAUGCUACCGACGACAAAGUAAUUGUCAUUGUGUUUUGCAAAAAAGUUGAAGCUAAUAAUGGAUGUUCAUAUACUAUAUUUUAUGCUGAUGGCUUA